rnacentral:rRNA from 1 species
UACAGAGGGUGCGAGCGUUAAUCGGAAUUACUGGGCGUAAAGCGCGCGUAGGUGGCUAUGCAAGUCGGAUGUGAAAUCCCCGGGCUCAACCUGGGAACUGCAUUCGAGACUGCAUUGCUCGAGUAUGGGAGAGGGAAGUGGAAUUUCCGGUGUAGCGGUGAAAUGCGUAGAUAUCGGAAGGAACAUCAGUGGCGAAAGCGACUUCCUGGACCAUUACUGACACUCAAGUGCGAAAGCGUGGGGAGCAAACAGG